rnacentral:rRNA from 1 species
ACGGCUCAGUAACACGUAGUCAACAUGCCCAAAGGACGUGGAUAACCUCGGGAAACUGAGGAUAAACCGCGAUAGGUCAUAAGUACUGGAAUGUUUUGUGGCUCAAAUCUACAUGGCCUCUGGAUUGGACUGCGGCCGAUCAGGCUGUUGGUGAGGUAAUGGCCCACCAAACCUGUUACCGGUACGGGCUCUGAGAGGAGGAGCCCGGAGAUGGGCACUGAGACAAGGGCCCAGGCCCUAUGGGGCGCAGCAGGCGCGAAACCUCUGCAAUAGGCGAAAGCUUGACAGGGUUACUCUGAGUGAUUCCCGCUAAGGGAAUCUUUUGGCAUCUCUAAAAACGAUGCAGAAUAAGGGGUGGGCAAGUCUGGUGUCAGCCGCCGCGGUAAUACCAGCACCCCGAGUGGUCGGGACGAUUAUUGGGCCUAAAGCAUCCGUAGCCGGUCUUGCAAGUCUUCCGUUAAAUCCACCUGCUUAACAGAUGGGCUGCGGAAGAUACUACAAGACCAGGAGGCGGGAGAGGCAAGCGGUACUCAGUGGGUAGGGGUAAAAUCCUCUGAUCCAUUGAAGACCACCAGUGGCGAAGGCGGCUUGCCAGAACGCGCUCGACGGUGAGGGAUGAAAGCUGGGGGAGCAAACCGGAUUAGAUACCCGGGUAGUCCCAGCUGUAAACGAUGCAGACUCGGUGAUGGGCCGGCUUCAUGCCGGCUCAGUGCCGCAGGGAAGCCGUUAAGUCUGCCGCCUGGGGAGUACGGUCGCAAGACUGAAACUUAAAGGAAUUGGCGGGGGAGCAC